rnacentral:tRNA from 1 species
UCCUCGAUAGUCUAGUGGGCUUGUCAUUAAUCCGAUUCGCCGGGGACCGGGGUUCAAUUCCCCGUCGAGGAG